rnacentral:rRNA from 1 species
CCUACGGGAUGCUGCAGUGGGGAAUAUUGGACAAUGGGCGAAAGCCUGAUCCAGCCAUGCCGCGUGUGUGAAGAAGGCCUUCGGGUUGUAAAGCACUUUCAGUGGGGAAGAAAGCCUUGGGGCUAAUACCCUCGAGGAAGGACAUCACCCACAGAAGAAGCACCGGCUAACUCCGUGCCAGCAGCCGCGGUAAUACGGAGGGUGCGAGCGUUAAUCGGAAUUACUGGGCGUAAAGCGCGCGUAGGCGGUCUGAUAAGCCGGUUGUGAAAGCCCCGGGCUCAACCUGGGAACGGCAUCCGGAACUGUCAGGCUAGAGUGCAGGAGAGGAAGGUAGAAUUCCCGGUGUAGCGGUGAAAUGCGUAGAGAUCGGGGGGAAUACCAGUGGCGAAGGCGGCCUUCUGGACUGACACUGACGCUGAGGUGCGAAAGCGUGGGUAGCAAACAGGAUUAGAUACCCUGGUAGUC